rnacentral:snRNA from 1 species
AUCACUUCUCGGCCUUUUGGCUAAGAUCAAGUGUAAAAUCCUCAAAUUAAAUAGGAAUCUUUUCUAAGAAACAAAAUUUGUCUUGAGCUUCUCUUCUUUCAAUGGGCUUGAUCUUAUACAAAUAGGAGACCAAAAAAAA